UACGUAGGGUGCGAGCGUUAAUCGGAAUUACUGGGCGUAAAGCGUGCGCAGGCGGUUUUGUAAGCCAGAUGUGAAAUCCCCGGGCUUAACCUGGGAAUGGCAUUUGGGACUGCAAGGCUCGAGUGCGGCAGAGGCAAGUGGAAUUGGUAGUGUAGCAGUGAAAUGCGUAGAUAUUACCAGGAACACCAAUGGCGAAGGCAGCUUGCUGGGCUACUCCUGACACUGAGGUACGAAAGCGUGGGGAGCGAACAGG
rnacentral:rRNA from 1 species